rnacentral:lncRNA from 12 species
CUCAGUGUAGAUAUAGUAAACUCCAUAUUUGCAUUUCCCAGGGUGUGUGUAUUGUACCCAGUUUUGAGGAGUUAUUUUCCAAAUGAGUCUCAUGGUGGAAUGAUUCUGGCAAUUUGCUAAUUUGGUAUAACAAACUUAAACAGUAAGAAGGUUUUUCUAUUUUGUUUUGUUUCCUUGUUUGCUUAGGAAAAGGACUCUUUAGAACCUUUAAGCAACUGAUGGGCAUCAUGGCUUUUCAGAAAUGGGAUUCAGAGCAUGGCAUUUCCCAGAGAAGGGAACAAUAAUACACAGCAGUCUCUUAUCUACUGAGUGGGAGAGAAAAAGAGGAAAAGAAAGAGCAUUGUCUGGUCCAAAUUUGGGGACAGUUACA